CUUGAGAUAACACUUGUUAUGAGUUGACGCUAUACAAAAUAAAUUGAAUUGAAUUGAAAAAAUUAUUUUCUGUGGCGGAGGAAGUCCGUGCGCCUGAUAACAUAGCUUGAACGGAGGCGGAGUAAUUCAACGGUCCUGUGAAGCAGCCGUAGGGAGAGAGAACGUCUUCGGUGAACCGACAGCAUUCGGACUUGGAUCUAAAUUCAGAGUUCAGGAGGAUUGUCACCACAGACCUGAUGGAGUCUUUCUUUGGUGGACUAGAUGCCUUGUUACCAAACCUUAUAGAGUUGUACCAGUCAGGUGUCACAUCCAACAAGAGGUUAAUCCUGAGAAGAAUUCUGCAGUGUCUUGGGAAAGAGGAUUCAAACCAAAACAGACUUACAGAUGCCCUACUUGGCCUUCCAUGCUUCUUUGCAGAGGAUUAUGUGUGAUGUAAGUUGUUUUAAGAAAACGAUUUCAUGGUCAUAACAUAACAUUUUUAAAACUUUAUUUGAAGGGAUACUUCACCGGUUGAAACAUGAAUCUGUAUUGACAUUGGG